UUUUUAUUAAGAGUUUGAUCCUGGCUCAGGAUGAACGCUGGCGGCGUGCCUAACACAUGCAAGUCGAGCGAACCGAUUUAUUGGAAGCCUUCGG
rnacentral:rRNA from 1 species